AUUGAACGCUGGCGGCAGGCCUAACACAUGCAAGUCGAACGGUAACAGGGAUCAGCUUGCUGAUUCGCUGACGAGUGGCGGACGGGUGAGUAAUGUCUGGGAAACUGCCUGAUGGAGGGGGAUAACUACUGGAAACGGUAGCUAAUACCGCAUAACGUCGCAAGACCAAAGAGGGGGACCUUCGGGCCUCUUGCCAUCGGAUGUGCCCAGAUGGGAUUAGCUAGUAGGUGGGGUAACGGCUCACCUAGGCGACGAUCCCUAGCUGGUCUGAGAGGAUGACCAGCCACACUGGAACUGAGACACGGUCCAGACUCCUACGGGAGGCAGCAGUGGGGAAUAUUGCACAAUGGGCGCAAGCCUGAUGCAGCCAUGCCGCGUAUGAAGAAGGCCUUCGGGUUGUAAAGUACUUUCAGCGGGGAGGAAGGGAGUAAAGUUAAUACCUUUGCUCAUUGACGUUACCCGCAGAAGAAGCACCGGCUAACUCCGUG
rnacentral:rRNA from 1 species